rnacentral:lncRNA from 1 species
UCCUCCUCCUGUCAUGGCCGCCCCUCCCUCAUCUUCCUCCCCAAGCUGAGCUCGCCCAGCCCCUCUCUGUUUGUGGCGUGCUCCAGCUUCCCAUGGCGUCAAAGCCCCUAGCCAGGUUCCUAGCCCCCUCAUGGCCGCCCCUCUCUGCUCCCUGAUUUCUCCCCACGCCAGCAGCAGCUUCCCCCUUCUUCUUUUGUUCUCCAUGAAUGAAAGCCCAAGCGCCAGCCCCCUCCCUUUUGUCAAGUGGUGAGCUCCAAAUCUCUUUAUUGUUUCCCUAGUCCUUGCGUGUUGUAUUUUGAUUUCAGUUUGUUGUCCAUGUCAUGACGCUUGUGAAACUCUAUGUGUUUGUGUGUGAGAUUGGAAGAGAGUUCUAGGGAAAUCGAUGGAGAAGAAACAGUGUUUCAGUUCGACGCGCUCUAGGUGUUUGAUGGAAUGGAUGAACCGGAGAUCCUUGUUGCUCUUGUGAAAUCCGAGUCUAUUUAGUGUUGGUAAGCUAAUUCAUUAUUUAGUAUUGAUUGAAUUGUUAGAUGAAUUGAAUAGAUGUGUUUGGUGAAUAUAUAUGCAUCAUGAGUUAGUGGUGAUACCUCUUCGUGGAUAGUGACAUGAUUGUAUUCAUGGUUAUGGUUAAAAUAAGUGAUGACGGUAUUGCUGUCCAAACCUGCACGUACAGUUUUGAUUGUGCAACUAAUUGAGUGAAGUAAAUCAUGUUUUCUGUGAAAGUGUUAUAUACAAAAGUUGUAGCUAACCUCUUCAUCUUACUUGUGCUAAAAUUUCAUAACCAUAGGACUAGUAGUUUAGGAGUUAUGAUUUUUCCAAGUCCAGUUUCAGAAUCUGUCCCAAUUCUGGACAGGUUUCGAAAAUUGCAUUUUUUGGCUAAGUUAAAAUGAGAACCAGUCUUUAGUAACUAUAGAAGAAUUUUAGUACUUUUCUUAAGCUUCCCAACAAAUUUUGGAUCACCCUUUUUGGUGAUCUAGAAGUCAGGUUAUGGCUGUUUGAAAUGUGAUGUCUGAAUCUGUCCAAAUCUGGACAGCAAUGUUUGUUUGUAUUAACUGACUUCGAUACACAUUGAAUCACCCUGAGAUGUUUACAAAUAAAUUGUAGACAAUUCUAUUAGCUUUCUAAAAAGUGUAGGAUCACCUGAUUUGGAUUUCUGAAACUCCGGUUAUGGAUUUUUGAAGUGAGUAGUCGAAUUCUGUCCAAAUCUGGACAGAAAUUGCGUUUAGUACUGUUUGAUAUUUCUAUAUGUCGAAUCUCACUGUGAUGAUAAUACCAAAAUUUUAGAGGACUUUAUAAGCUUUCCAAAAAGUCUUAGUUUACUAUUUUUGGAUGAAUAUCGUGUGAGUUAUGAAUAAAACAACUGACUGCUGUAUUGCUGUCCAAAAUCAGCAAGCAUUAAAAUGAUUUGCUUGGAAUUUCUUGUGUAGGUAACUAGAUUUGGUUAGUCCUUGGCUUGAUCAAUGAAGUAUGGUAGUUGCAUAUGUUUGUUCUUUUCUUUCUUAAUGCUUGCCUUAGACUUUAGCAUUUUAAGAAGGAAGUAAAUACUUUGGUGAGUGUAUUUGAGUUAGCGACCAUUUAGACCUUUAAGUUAAGAUGAGUGCAAUUUCAUUGAACCCUAUGUUAAUUGGUAAUGAAAUAUCCGUUAGUUCUAAGUAUGUUUUGAUGUUUUGUUUAGUCGAUAUACGUUGAUAGUUAAUCUAGAGGAAUGUUUGAGAAAGCUAGAUGAGUGACUUUUAACCAUACUAAGUUUUAGAUGUGUUCAAUAAUUGUGAGCUUGAAUUGUUACUUGACUCUCGAUCCUAUGUUCUAGUUAAGGAAAAUACAUAGCUUGUGUAGGGUUCAAUAUUCUUUGAUGUUUGUGUUAGAUUUGGUUAAGCCAGACAAACGUAAUUGUGAUACGUAGUGAUAUGUCAACAUAUAGUAAUUGUUUUUAAGUAUUGUGGUACAUCAAUGUUAUAUUCUAAAUAUAUUAGGACUUGUAUGUUGCUAAUGUUACUUGAUGAUUGAUUUAGGUCCGAUUGACUAGAACGUCAUGUUUGAUGUAGAAUUAGUUGUGAUGUUUUGCUUUAAGUCUGUAUCCUCCUUAGUAUAGCUUAUCUAUCUUGUGCUAUAUAUGCUCCUACUCACUCAUAUGCAUUAUGCAUGUCAUUUAGGUACGUUAAUUGAUCACGUGAUGUGGAAGACAAAGUUUGGAUUGAUCUCAAGAUAAUGCUGAUGGACGAAGCUAAAAUGGGUGAAUCAAACAAGUGCCAGAAUGGGAGAUGCUCGCCAAGCAAACAUCAUCUAACAACACUGACUUAGUGUUAUCCCAGGCAAGCCCCGGUGCAUUUGCCACCUCCUUGUUGUUAUAAAACUUUUAUCACUUAUAUGUUGCAUUAGGUGAUAGGAGUUGAGUGAUGAAACAAUUGAUGCAUUGCCAUUCCUUGGAAUUUGAUUAUCUUCCUUGAUUCCUGUUUUAUAAAGAGAACUAAAGAUGCUUAGCCCUGCUUAGAUAAUUAAAAGUUGUUCUUUUUUAAAAAAAUGAUGUGUUACAUGGGAUAUGGGAAAUUUUUGUGAAAAAGAAAUUGGGAUGGUGAAUCCAUAUGGCCAUGAUGGAUUCAACAUCCAGAAAAAGUACCUCUGUCAGGUACCAAAGAUUGGGAAAUGGUUUAAAUAAAAUGAGACCAGACGUUGAGCAGGAAAGGUCGCCCGUCUGUGUCGAUUAAGGACCGUUCCGAUUGUUGGCCUGCUGAUCUAGGACCCUUUAACUGGCCACAUGCCUCAUCAUGGGUAAGCUUAGCCUCGGUUGGACCAAUACCAGAAAGGCCGGCCCGCAAUGGGAGUGGAGAGAUGGCGAGAGUAUCGUGUAUCCACCUGGCAAGAGGCUGGAUGGUGGGGUACUGAGCUCUCGGUUGGCGGGGACCCGUUCUGGUCUUGAGAAAACCGUGGGCGAGUUGACAUAUGCAAGGGUUAAGUGCUACAUAUGUCGUGUGGUUGGAGAUCCCCAGCUGGGUAUUAAUCGAUUCGGAUCGCCGAACUUCUCGGAUAUGAAGACUGGAUCUUCGACCUUCAGCGUAGAUAACAAGUGAAAUUAAAGUUGAUAAAAUGAAGCUAGUGUAGGACAAGUGAAUGCUCUAGACCAGACAAAUCUAGAUUCAGGAAAAGUACUUAAUUUGUGAAGUAAAAAUUUUGCAUAAGGAUCCACUACUAGUAAGCUUUUCUGCAAAAACGAGUCUUUGAAAUUUGACAAGCUUUACCUUGAAUCCCUUAAAUCCAGCAUACCCUUGAGAGUCUUUUCUUUAGUCGGGUAAGUCUUGCUGAGUAAUUGCGUACUCAGGGUUUUAUUCCCUGUUGUUUUUCAGGUUGUAAUUUUGUUCUGUUGUGGAUGGUGCUAAGUGCCGGUGGGCUCGGCCUUCUUAUAUAAGUAUAUCCCAUCUUUAGCUUCCUUAUUGAGGAUUGUCACUUAAGCUAGCAUGUAUUUUAAAACUUAUAAAUGUUUUAUACAUUCAAAUUGUAAUCUUUUGAAAUCAAUUUCUUUUGUAAUCAACUCCGAUGAUAUAUAUUGUAAUCUUGUUAUAACUUGUAAAUGUUGUAACUUGUAAUCAUUUUGUAAUAAAGAAUUUAUUUCCGCUGCAAGUGUUUGUAUGUGAGUUGUGUUUACUUAAUCCUACGAUCUUGGCGGUAAGUCGUUUAUCCGAGGUCCUCGGGGCACUCGGACAGAUCCUGUUAAGUUGUUUGGUGCACAUGCAUAGCUGUCUGAGGUCUUUGAGACAAGGACAGGUGCAUGUGGGCCCGAUAACUUGGGAGGUUCUGCGACAGCUGGUAUCGGAGCUGUAUUAAGUAUAAUACGGUCACAUACAUAUUUUUAAAACAAGGUUUUGGUUUUAGAAAACCUAUUUUCAACUAAACACAUUGUUUGGUUUUGAAAAACAGAUUUGAAAAACUAUAAUGCUAGCGACAUCCUCUGUUAAGCCCUAAAUUAAGGACUACUAGGUGGCCUAAUUCAGAAUACUGACCCACAACCUGGGAAGGGUAAUGCAUACAUGUGUAAUGUUAUUUUUAAAGCCAUUCAGUUUUGAAUGGAUCGACGCUCAGGUAAGGUGAGAUGUGAGAGCAUGACCGAACAAACGUCGGUCUAGGGGAGAGUAUAAAAAGCGCUUGAUUAUAUACAUGUUACACAUAUGUAUAUAUGAAGGCUGCGAUGUGGAGUAAUUACUUUUUUGGGGAUUCAGUACCCCAUAAAUGUGUAUGGGCAUACAGACAUGGGACUACUGAGAAAUGUAAUGUACUCGCAACGACGCACCUACGCUCAGGUAAGAAGGUGAGUUACCAUAAUGGGCUGCCCUGUGGUUAAAGUGUGGUAGCGGCGCCUAUGCGUGGCUCAGCGCUUAAUGAGGAGCUGGCCUCCAUAUAGAAAUAUAUGGAGUAUAAACUGUGAUAAACUGGCAUGUGUGAAUUGCAUCAUUGGGAAAUGGGCUGUGAUGAAGUUUUCUGCAGGUACACUAACUUCGAAACGUAUGUGUAGCUGACGACUAGCAAUAUACCGAGAGAGAACGUAGAUAUGCCACCGAUAUAGAACGCUAUUGCCACAUUAUGUUGGCGAAAUUCGUGAGGACGAAUAGGACGAGCAUGCAUCCUGAUUGUUGCAUUGUGUUUGUCAUUUGUGCACAAAUAUGCUUCUCUCAUCUUUAUUCUAAUAAUUCAUGAUUGUGAACAAACGUGCUUCCCUCAUCUUUAUCCCGAUAAUAAAUAAUUGGAAAAUGUGUGAAGCAUUACUAUCUUAUAAGCAAAUUUCUAGUCUUGUUUGUUGGGUCCUUUAGACAUGUAUUUAUGUGGCCUAUGGUUCUUCUUAGUUUGACCGCUAGUCCAACUUGUGUUUGUUCUGGUGUGUUUGUGCCGGUAGAAUGUUGGUGGUAUGUUUGUGUAAACUAAAAAUUUGGCCAUGUCCUCAUCUAGGAGCCAUGACCCAAAUCGAUGUUAAUUCCCUGAAAUUUUUCCUAGUUUUCAAAAGUGGACGAGUCUGAAUUUCCAUCGUUACUUUAGGACCAAGCUUAUCUAAAUAGGUGUUUAGGUAAUCUUCUCGUAGAAAAUAAAUGCACCUAAAUUUAAGACAAGGAUCUCGAGUACGUCUUUUCGUCGUUUAAUAUGUGACUCUUCAGUGGUCAUGUUUUCCUCCUAAGCUUCGACUUGUUCGGUUGGUGCAAACUGGUAUCCCUAUUCCAGUUUGCCUCUGCUUGAGGAUCACAUUGUCGGUUUCUCAAUCUAACCUAGGAAAGGAAUGCCUAGUCGUUUUCUCGAAUUGAAUGCCAAUGGUUUCCUCAUAGCUCUCGAAGGCAUAUUAAUUUAAUCUUCCGAUCGUUUUUUUCCUGCGUACUUAAUCAGACGCUCAUCCUUGACCUUGAAAUUGCUGCGAUGGGCAUAGAAAUAUGCUUGGGGCUGAAAUAACAGUCUCCCAUCAUACUCCCUUCAUCAUCCAAUUUAGGUUUUGGCCAUGAUCUAUUUGACUCUCUACUUGCAAUUAUUUUGACAGGUAGAGUCUCUUUGUAUAUUGUCACCCUUGCUCAGUCUAUCUAUGCCAUGUGAGAUUUCUUAUUGAUUACAUCUGGCAAUGGUGUUAUGACUAAAACUGAUGGUGCUGCGACGAAACCGAGGGCCUCCUGUGGGUGAUCAACACAUGGUUGCGCUACUUGGCACGCGCUGGUAUCACAGUUAGUAGUCAUAAUCCAUUAUGAGACUAUAUCGAUAUGUUAUCUUUGCGCAAAUUGUUCUUACCACGUGAGAUUCAUUAUCGGUGCUAGUUCGAUGAUGGUGUCCCAGUUAAUGACUUAUGGUGCCGCGUAAAACCGAAAGUCUCAUGUGGCGGCUGACACAUGGUAGUGUUGUUCGGUACGCUGGUAUCGAAGUCUCUGGCUAUGAUCCAUUAUGGAACUACACUGACAUGUUAUCUUUCGUAGACUACUUCGUUGAAAUGAUUUCUAUGUUGUUUGUUAGAAUGAUCAAGCUACAUAUGCCAUCAGUGUUAGAUCAAAAGAGUAUAUAACUCAGAUGUAUUCCUUAAGUAAAGUUCUUACCAGUUUAGAAGCUUUCAUCAAAAAUCGAAACCUAUAUGUGUCUGAUCGUGUGAUAAAAUCACCCUUUUCAUGUGAGGACUCCUUUCUCUUGAUCUUAGUGGCAACUGCACACAUGGAGCCUUAAGUGUUCUUCUGGCUGAGACCGACUCUGAUGGUUGACCUCUCUGCUUAGCUGGAAAGUGAUACAUGCUAUACCCACUAGAGAAACAACAUUCUGAGACACUCGUCUUCACUUGAAACUAGCUUAUGCUAUCACUAGUAUGGACAGGAGUUACAUGCUUCUCUACUCUUAAAAGUCUUUCGCUCCGAAUCUCGGGACGAGAUUCUUUUAAGGGGGGAGGAUUGUAACACCCCAGGUGUUUAUCGUCUGCUCGACCACGAUUGCGGACUUUAACACGUGAUAGCUAUGAAUGUAAAGGUCACUAAAUUUUAAUCAACCUCAUUUAUCACAAUUUUGAUAUCGUGUUUGUUUCCGUCUGUCUAAAUUUUUCCAAAUCUAUAUUUUUUAAUUCAGCCUUUGGUAAUUUUCGGAACAUCGAAUCCAGGAUUGUUUGGGUUGAGCCAUCGACGUCUUGCCCAAACUCUAAUCCUUGAAAUCGAUUCUGGUUUCUUAAACUUCAUUUGAAAUUCUUUCACGCUUGCGUUGCAUGUGUCUCUCUGUGGCCUAGCAUCGUGGCGCGUGGCAGGUGCUAACCGGUGUCUGGACAGCGCACAGCCUCUCGCUCUCGUGAGCGAUGCGUGAUGUCGCUUUCGAAAAGAUCAUAAUUUCGAUAUCAUUUUCAUCUCUGUCUAUCCAGCCUACUCUAAAUGUUUCGCGAAGUCAGAACGUAUUUGUUCCGAAAAUUAGUGAGUUUGGUGAUUAUUUAAAACUCAUCGAUCGUGCAAAUACGAACUUAAAAAUUUAGUUCAGUCCUCCGAUUUCAGCCCCAAAUAAAUUUAUUAGAAGUCGACGACUAAGUUUUUGGGUAUAAAAUAAUUUAGUGGUUACUUGCCAACCGAGAAAUCAUCACAUCCAAGGAUUUAUAAAUGAGAUAUGUUUCUCCAGUAAAUUAUCUAUAGCCGUGGAAUCAGGUGUUCAGACUACAGAUGAAAUUAUUUGAUUUCAAAUCAAAUUGAACGCGGUCUAAAAUAUCGGUGUUGACAUCGUUCCAGUUCGUUCCGAUUGUAUCUCACCUAGAUUCAAACGUUCGGGUAUAAAUAUCUCAUAAAAAUUUAUCUGAUUCUGGGAAUACCUACCAAAUCAAACACUGUUCAACUAUUAUCACCGAUCUCAUUUUGGUCCAAUCGAUUUGCAUCUGUUAAAUGUUAAUUCGAGCACCCGUAUUUAUCCAUAAAUUAUUAAAAAAAAGAAUCCUAACUUAUCAUCUCCACCAUUUUGCCUUUGACUUAUCCAAACCGUAUCCUCCUCUCAUUAUCCGCAGUGAACUCUAGAAGUCACGGUACCCAUCCCUACACACACGUCCGUGUCUCUCAACCUCAUCCUCUCCAGGCCUCCAGCGACCAGCCCCUCCCUUAUCCCAUUCUCAGUCAUCUUCAUCGAUCCAGAAACUACGGCCAUCUUCCUCCUCCUGUCAUGGCCGCCCCUCCCUCAUCUUCCUUCCCAAGCUGAGCUCGCCCAGCCCCUCUCUGUUUGUGGCGUGCUCCAGCUUCCCAUGGCGUCAAAGCCCCUAGCCAGGUUCCUAGCCCCCUCAUGGCCGCCCCUCUCUGCUCCCUGAUUUCUCCCCACGCCAGCAGCAGCUUCCCCUUCUUCUUUUGUUCUCCAUGAAUGAAAGCCCAAGCGCCAGCCCCCUCCCUUUUGUCAAGUGGUGAGCUCCAAAUCUCUUUAUUGUUUCCCUAGUCCUUGCGUGUUGUAUUUUGAUUUCAGUUUGUUGUCCAUGUCAUGACGCUUGUGAAACUCUAUGUGUUUGUGUGUGAGAUUGGAAGAGAGUUCUAGGGAAAUCGAUGGAGAAGAAACAGUGUUUCAGUUCGACGCGCUCUAGGUGUUUGAUGGAAUGGAUGAAC